rnacentral:lncRNA from 1 species
GGCAACCGGCUAGGGUCCUCUUCCAGAUUGUGGAAGAUUUGUUCUUUUGCCUUUGGCAAUAAAUCCUGCUGCUGCUCACUCUUUGGGUCUGCACCGUCUUUGGCGGCUGCUGCUCACUCUUUGGGUCUGCGCUAUCUUUAUGAGCUGUAACACCGUGAAGGUCUGCACCUUCAUUCCUGAAGCCAGUUAGACCACAAACCCACCAGAAGGAAGAAACUCUGGACCCAUCUGAACAUCUGAAUGAACAAACUCUGGACACACCAUCUUUAGGAACUGUAACACUCACCGCAAGGGUCCGUGGCUUCAUUCUUGAAGUCAGUUAGACCAAGAACCCACCAAUUCCGGACACAAUACUAUUGGAUGUAUGUUUGUUUGGUGUUUUCUUUGGUGAGUGAGUUUGUUUGUUUGUAACUGCUAAAAGAGUAGAGAGGAAUGAGAGGGGGUUGAACUGCAACAUCACAGAACACCUUAAGAUGUAAGAUUUAGGGUGUCUAAUAGGCCAUCUUAAUUUGUUUGUGUUGCAACUGUCCCCGAUAUGGGAGUAUUGAGAGGGGCAUCCUUUAAGUGGUGAUUGGAUCACAGGGGUUAUCCCCUUAUGAAUCAAUCUACUCAUGGAUUAAAGAACUAAUGGGUUAAUGGAUAAAUGGGUUAUCAUGGGAGAGGAACUGGUGGCCUUAUAAGAAGAAGAGAGAUCUGAGCUAACACGCUAGCAUUCUCGGCCCCCUUGCCAUGUGGUUCUCUGA